UGGGCUGUAGCGCAGAGGUCGUCGCGCCGUCUUGCCAGGACGGAGGACGCCGGUUCGAUUCCGGCCGGUCCACC
rnacentral:tRNA from 1 species